GCCUUCGUAGUGUAGUUGUAGCACGCUCGGUGCGUAUUCGAGAGAUCUGUGGUUCGAAUCCCGGUAAGAGCA
rnacentral:tRNA from 1 species